rnacentral:rRNA from 1 species
UACGGAGGGUGCGAGCGUUAAUCGGAAUCACUGGGCGUAAAGCGCGCGUAGGCGGCUUUUCAAGUCAGGGGUGAAAUCCCACGGCCCAACCGUGGAACUGCCUUUGAAACUGUAGAGCUUGAGUGUCGGAGAGGGUGGCGGAAUUCCAGGUGUAGGAGUGAAAUCCGUAGAUAUUUGGAGGAACACCGGUGGCGAAGGCGGCCACCUGGACGACAACUGACGCUGAGGUGCGAAAGCGUGGGUAGCAAACAGG